ensembl:lncRNA novel transcript, antisense to ZNF365
AGGCAAGGCUUCUAGGUGAAGCCCCCGGCCCCCAGAGAGGGGAACCUCUUCCUGUGAUGGGUACACCGGGAUGUUUAACCACUGGUUUUCUGGGAACGAGAUGCAAACCCUGGCUCAGCAUAGGGCCAAAGACGCUGACAAGAGGGCCUCUUUAUCUGGUAAUGCCUACUCAUCCCUCAGAGCUCAUCCCAAGUAUGCCCUCUCUGAGGAGGUCUUCCCUGACACUCCUGGACAAGGAUUUCUCACUGUGAGAGAAGUGAGCCACCAGAUAGAGAGGACACUCAAACAGCCCCAUGCAGAGGCCAAUAUAGAAAGGAUAAAAUAGCCAGCAUCAACUUACCGGCUUUGUAAGAGAGCCUUUAUAACUGAAUCCACUGCCCCGGUCAAGCCUUCAGAUGACUGCAGCUCUAGCCUACAUCUGGCUGCAAUCUCAGGUGUUCAGAUCAAGGGAAACUACUCUAAGAGGCUACACUUGAGGAACAACAACCAAGGAGCUUCAACUGCAUCUGGAUUUCAGGAGUCUGGAAAACUUUUCUUUUGAGCUAUUGACAGCCUUUAACAACUGAGUAAAGUGUACUCCUGUGAACAAAAUUCAGAGCCUGUUUGUUUCUCUCUACCUGAUUUCUCCAGAAUUUGGAAACUAUUUGUGAGUAUUCUUAACUUAUGGAAACAUAGUUAUUUGCAUAAGUGCAAUAAGAAUCUGUUUUCAUUUGUAACAGGACACAAUUGGAAAAACUGGUUAUUUUACCAAGGCUUUUACUGGAAUGGUGUGCUUUCUUUUAAGGAAUCAAACUUGACUUAUAGAGCCAAUAAAAGCCCCUUGGAAACACUGGCCUUAUACAUUGUCUACACAGUCUCUGUGUAGGGUUCCUAACCUGUGAGUAAAGAAUGUCACUUUUUAACAGUCCCAGGAGCCCCCAAGUUAUCUUGGGACCUGAAUAGGAAAGGAAUUUACCCAAUAAUAGAUAUUUGAGUGUACAAACCCAUGGCUGGGCUCAGCUUCAGAAAAAAGUCUUAUCUGAGAUUCCUUAUAGAACAGAGUUCCAUCAAAGCCAAUUUAAAAAGCCUAUGUGAAAAAUAAUUAUUCUUGCUGCACUUUGUAUGAAUAAUCAGGCCAAGUAUAAUAAAGUAAAUCAGUCUUACAGUGAUUUGUCUUUAGUAAAAAUGGGAAACUGGAGAGAGAAAAAAAUUGUUUCAAGAACUAUGGUACAACUGUUACUAGAUUCUAGUCUCAUUCACUGUUUUUGAAUUUUUUUCUGCAAUUUAGACUGACUCUUCUUAUUUCUGUUAACCAACCAGUGAUCUCUGGCUGCUGCUCAGAAGAACUAAGAAGGAUGGGUAAUAUAAAAUCCAGAUCAAUAUUCUUAUUCUGGGCACAUAUUGGAAUCAGCUAACAACCCCAUAUCAGUUUGGUUCCAACAAUUGCCCAGUUCAUGGAAAGCCUCUAAUUUUGUUUAUUUGGGAUGAUUUUGCUUAUUUUGCUUUACUAUUGUGGAAUAUAUUGCUGUUGUACUCUUUGUGUAGGAAUGCAGGAUAUGCUUGCUGAAUGUUUUCUUAAAUUGAACCCUUAUUCCUCUUCCAGGUACCAUCUUUUGUUGGAACUCAGUUACAAAUAACCCUCACCAUACCAGCACUUUCUGAAUGAGCUCCUCUCUACCCUGAAGGCAAAAGACCCAAUAGUUAGGCUGGAAUAUUAUCACCCCUAUUCAGCCUGAAGAAGUUACAGAAAAUGGAUCUUCAUCUGUCUACAACCCUUAGGAUUAAGUGUUCUCUUAUAAUAGGGAGGGGGGAAUUGUCAGAGGCAUUUGAAUCAAAGCAACUCCAUUUCACACAGGGGCUAAGUGAAAUAAGGCUAAGACCUACUAGGCUGCAUUCCCAGGAGGUUAAGACAUUCUAAGUCACAGGAUGAGACAGGAGAGCGGCAUAAGAUGCAGGUCAGAAAGAUCUUGUGGAUAAAACAGGUUGCAGUAAAGAAGCCAGCCAAAACAUCAAAACCAAGAUGGCGACAAAAGUGACUUCUGGUCGUCUGCACUGCUACAUUCCCGCCAGCACCACGGCAGUUUACAAAUGCCAUGGCAAUGUCAGGAGGUUGCCCUACAUGUUCUAAAAUGGGGAGGAACCCUCAGUUCCAGGAAUUGCCCACCCCUUUCCUGGAAAACUCAUGAAUAAUCCACCCUUUGUUUAGCAUAUAAACAAGAAAUAACCAUAAAAAUGGGCAACUAGGUGUGCACCACUGCUCUUCUUAUGGAGUAGCCAUUCUUUCAUUCCUUUACUUUCAUAAUAAAC